rnacentral:rRNA from 1 species
GAGCGAACGGACGAGAAGCUUGCUUCUCUGAUGUUAGCGGCGGACGGGUGAGUAACACGUGGAUAACCUACCUAUAAGACUGGGAUAACUUCGGGAAACCGGAGCUAAUACCGGAUAAUAUUUUGAACCGCAUGGUUCAAAAGUAAAAGACGGUCUUGCUGUCACUUAUAGAUGGAUCCGCGCUGCAUUAGCUAGUUGGUAAGGUAACGGCUUACCAAGGCAACGAUGCAUAGCCGACCUGAGAGGGUGAUCGGCCACACUGGAACUGAGACACGGUCCAGACUC